UUUUCUAUGUUCAAAAUGCACCAUUCAAAGCCACAUCAUCAAUUUUCAACCCUGUCUGACUUCAUUUGUUAUUUUUCAUGCAUUUACUUAUUUUUAUGAGUUAUAAGACCCUAAAAUUGAAAAGCAUUUCAAAUGAACUCUGAAAAGGUUGAAAGUUGGCAUGGUAUCAUCAUUUCACCCACAUAGCAUGUGCAAGAAAGUCGAGAGGCUUACGGCAAAAACUGGAUGCACUUCGUGUACAAAACGGACAAUCUCUUUCGAAGUAUCAGGGUUUCAUGCUGAAACUCGUCUGUUACAAAGGGAUUUCAUUUUUAGAACUUAUUUGAACUCCAUAGUUUUUCUGUGUUCAAAACGCACCAUUCAAAGCCAUUUCAUCAAUUUUCAACCCUUUCUGACUUCAUUUGUUAUUUUUCAUGCAUUUGCUGAUUUUUUUGAGCUAUAAGACCCUGGAAUUGUAAAGCAUUUCAAAUGAACUCUCAAAAGGUUGAAAGGUUGCAUGGUAUCAUCAUUUCACCCACAUAGCAUGUGCAAGAAAGUAGAGAGGCUUACGGCAAAAACUGGAUGCACUUCGUGUACAAAACGGACAAUCUCUUUCGAAGUAUCAGGGUUUCAUACGGAAACUCGUCUGUUACAAAGGGAUUUCAUUUUUUUGAACUUAUUUGAACUCCAUAGUUUUUCUGUGUUCAAAAUGCACCANNNNNNNNNNAGAAAGUAGAGAGGCUUACGACAAAAACUGGAUGCACUUCGUGUACAAAACGGACAAUCUCUUUCGAAGUAUCAGGGUUUCAUACGGAAACUCGUCUGUUACAAAGGGAUUUCAUUUUUUUGAACUUAUUUGAACUCCAUAGUUUUUCUGUGUUCAAAAUGCACCAUUCAAAGCCACAUCAUCAAUUUUCAACCCUUUCUGACUUCAUUUGUUAUUUUUCAUGCAUUUACUGAUUUUUUUGAGCUAUAAGACCUUGAAAUUGAAAAGCAUUUCAAAUGAACUCUGAAAAGGUUGAAAGUUGGCAUGGUAUCAUCAUUUCACUCACAUAGCAUGUGNNNNNNNNNNNNNNNNNNNNNNNNNNNNNNNAGUAUCAGGGUUUCAUACGGAAACUCGUCUGUUACAAAGGGAUUUCAUUUUUUGAACUUAUUUGAACUCCAUAGUUUUUCUGUGUUCAAAAUGCAACAUUCAAAGCCACAUCAUCAAUUUUCAACACUUUCUGACUUCAUUUGUUAUUUUUCAUGCAUUUGCUGAUUUUUUUGAGCUAUAAGACCCUGAAAUUGAAAAGCAUUUCAAAUGAACUCUAAAAAGGUUGAAAGUUGGCAUGGUAUCAUCAUUUCACCCACGUAGCAUGUGCAAGAAAGUAGAGAGGCUUACGGCAAAAACUGGAUGCACUUCGUGUACAAAACGGACAAUCUCUUUCGAAGUAUCAGGGUUCCAUACGGAAACUCGUCUGUUACAAAGGGAUUUCAUUUUUUUGAACUUAUUUGAACUCCAUAGUUUUUCUGUGUUCAAAAUGCACCAUUCAAAGCCACAUCAUCANNNNNNNNNNAAAGUAGAGAGGCUUACGACAAAAACUGGAUGCACUUCGUGUACAAAACGGACAAUCUCUUUCGAAGUAUCCGGGUUUCAUACGGAAACUCGUCUGUUACAAAGGGAUUUCAUUUUUUUGAACUUAUUUGAACUCCAUAGUUUUUAUGUGUUCAAAAUGCACCAUUCAAAGCCACAUCAUCAAUUUUCAACACUUUCUGACUUCAUUUGUUAUUUUUCAUGCAUUUACUUAUUUUUAUGAGUUAUAAGACCCUAAAAUUGAAAAGCAUUUCAAAUGAACUCUGAAAAGGUUGAAAGUUGGCAUGGUAUCAUCAUUUCACCCACAUAGCAUGUGCAAGAAAGUCGAGAGGCUUACGGCAAAAACUGGAUGCAAUUCGUGUACAAAACGGACAAUCUCUUUCAAAGUAUCAGCGUUUCAUACUGAAACUCGUCUGUUACAAAGGGAUUUCAUUUUCUGAACUUAUUUGAACUCCAUAGUUUUUCUGUGUUCAAAACGCACCAUUCAAAGCCAUUUCAUCAAUUUUCAACCCUUUCUGACUUCAUUUGUUAUUUUUCAUGCAUUUGCUGAUUUUUUUGAGCUAUAAGACCCUGGAAUUGUAAAGCAUUUCAAAUGAACUCUGAAAAGGUUGAAAGUUGGCUUGGUAUCAUCAUUUCACCCACAUAGCAUGUGCAAGAAAGUAGAGAGGCUUACGGCAAAAACUGGAUGCACUUCGUGUAUAAAACGGACAAUCUCUUUCGAAGUAUCAGGGUUUCAUACGGAAACUCGUCUGUUACAAAGGGAUUUCAUUUUUUUUGAACUUAUUUGAACUCCAUAGUUUUUCUGUGUUCAAAAUAUGCACCAUUCAAAGCCACAUCAUCAAUUUUCAACACUUUCUGACUUCAUUUGUUAUUUUUCAUGCAUUUGCUGAUUUUUUUGAGCUAUAAGACCCAGAAAUUGAAAAGCAUUUCAAAUGAACUCUGAAAAGGUUGAAAGUUGGCAUGGUAUCAUCAUUUCACCCACAUAGCAUGUGCAAGAAAGUAGAGAGGCUUACGACAAAAACUGGAUGCACUUCGUGUACAAAACGGACAAUCUCUUUCGAAGUAUCAGGGUUUCAUACGGAAACUCGUCUGUUACAAAGGGAUUUCAUUUUUUUGAACUUAUUUGAACUCCAUAGUUUUUCUGUGUUCAAAAUGCACCAUUCAAAGCCACAUCAUCAAUUUUCAACCCUUUCUGACUUCAUUUGUUAUUUUUCAUGCAUUUACUGAUUUUUUUGAGCUAUAAGACCUUGAAAUUGAAAAGCAUUUCAAAUGAACUCUGAAAAGGUUGAAAGUUGGCAUGGUAUCAUCAUUUCACUCACAUAGCAUGUGNNNNNNNNNNAGUAUCAGGGUUUCAUACGGAAACUCGUCUGUUACAAAGGGAUUUCAUUUUUUGAACUUAUUUGAACUCCAUAGUUUUUCUGUGUUCAAAAUGCAACAUUCAAAGCCACAUCAUCAAUUUUCAACACUUUCUGACUUCAUUUGUUAUUUUUCAUGCAUUUGCUGAUUUUUUUGAGCUAUAAGACCCUGAAAUUGAAAAGCAUUUCAAAUGAACUCUAAAAAGGUUGAAAGUUGGCAUGGUAUCAUCAUUUCACCCACGUAGCAUGUGCAAGAAAGUAGAGAGGCUUACGGCAAAAACUGGAUGCACUUCGUGUACAAAACGGACAAUCUCUUUCGAAGUAUCAGGGUUCCAUACGGAAACUCGUCUGUUACAAAGGGAUUUCAUUUUUUUGAACUUAUUUGAACUCCAUAGUUUUUCUGUGUUCAAAAUGCACCAUUCAAAGCCACAUCAUCANNNNNNNNNNACCCUGAAAUUGAAAAGCAUUUCAAAUGAACUCUGAAAAGGUUGAAAGUUGGCAUGGUAUCAUCAUUUCACCCACAUAGCAUGUGCAAGAAAGUAGAGAGGCUUACGGCAAAAACUGGAUGCACUUCGUGUACAAAACGGACAAUCUCUUUCGAAGUAUCAGGGUUUCAUACGGAAACUCGUCUGUUACAAAGGGAUUUAAUUUUUUUGAACUUAUUUGAACUCCAUAGUUUUUCUGUGUUCAAAAUGCACCAUUCAAAGCCACAUCAUCAAUUCUCAUCCCUGUGUGACUUCAUUUGCUAUUUUUUCAUGCAUUUACAGAUUUUUUUAGCUAUAAGACCCUGAAAUUGAAAAGCAUUUCNNNNNNNNNNAAAGUUGGCAUGGUAUCAUCAUUUCACCCACAUAGCAUGUGCAAGAAAGUAGAGAGGCUUACGGCAAAAACUGGAUGCACUUCGUGUACAAAACGGACAAUCUCUUUCGAAGUAUCAGGGUUUCAUGCGGAAACUCGUCUGUUACAAAGGGAUUUCAUUUUUUGAACUUAUUUGAACUCCAUAGUUUUUCUGUGUUCAAAAUGCAACAUUCAAAGCCACAUCAUCAAUUUUCAACACUUUCUGACUUCAUUUGUUAUUUUCAUGCAUUUACUGAUUUUUUUUAGCUAUAAUACCCUGAAAUUGAAAAGCAUUUCAAAUGAACUCUGAAAAGGUUGCAAGUUGUCAUGGUAUCAUCAUUUCACCCACAUAGGAUGUGCAAGAAAGUAGAGAGGCUUACGGCCAAAACUGGAUGCACUUCGUGUACAAAACGGACAAUCUCUUUCGAAGUAUCAGGGUUCCAUACGGAAACUCGUCUGUUACAAAGGGAUUUCAUUUUUUUGAACUUAUUUGAACUCCAUAGUUUUUCUGUGUUCAAAAUGCACCAUUCAAAGCCACAUCAUCAAUUUUCAACCCUGUCUGACUUCAUUUGUUAUUUUUCAUGCAUUUACUUAUUUUUAUGAGUUAUAAGACCCUAAAAUUGAAAAGCAUUUCAAAUGAACUCUGAAAAGGUUGAAAGUUGGCAUGGUAUCAUCAUUUCACCCACAUAGCAUGUGCAGGAAAGUCGAGAGGCUUACGGCAAAAACUGGAUGCACUUCGUGUACAAAACGGACAAUCUCUUUCAAAGUAUCAGCGUUUCAUGCUGAAACUCGUCUGUUACAAAGGGAUUUCAUUUUUUGAACUUAUUUGAACUCCAUAGUUUUUCUAUGUUCAAAACGCACCAUUCAAAGCCAUUUCAUCAAUUUUCCACCCUUUCUGACUUCAUUUGUUAUUUUUCAUGCAUUUGCUGAUUUUUUUGAGCUAUAAGACCCUGGAAUUGUAAAGCAUUUCAAAUGAACUCUGAAAAUGUUGAAAGUUGGCAUGGUAUCAUCAUUUCACCCACAUAGGAUGUGCAAGAAAAUAGAGAGGCUUACGGCAAAAACUGGAUGCACUUCGUGUACAAAACGGACAAUCUCUUUCGAAGUAUCAGGGUUUCAUACGGAAACUCGUCUGUUACAAAGGGAUUUCAUUUUUUUGAACUUAUUUGAACUCCAUAGUUUUUCUGUGUUCAAAAUGCACCAUUCAAAGCCACAUCAUCAAUUUUCAUCCCUGUGUGACUUCAUUUGUUAUUUUUUCAUGCAUUUACUGAUUUUUUUGAGCUAUAAGACCCUGAAAUUGAAAAGCAUUUCAAAUGAACUCUGAAAAGGUUGAAAGUUGGAUUGGUAUCAUCAUUUCACCCACAUAGCAUGUGCAAGAAAGUAGACAGGCUUACGGCAAAAACUGGAUNNNNNNNNNNGUUUUUCUGUGUUCAAAAUGCAACAUUCAAAGCCACAUCAUCAAUUUUCAACACUUUCUGACUUCAUUUGUUAUUUUUCAUGCAUUUGCUGAUUUUUUUGAGCUAUAAUACCCUGAAAUUGAAAAGCAUUUCAAAUGAACUCUGAAAAGGUUGAAAGUUGGCAUUGUAUCAUCAUUUCACCCACAUAGCAUGUGCAAGAAAGUAGAGAGGCUUACGGCAAAAACUGGAUGCACUUCGUGUACAAAACGGA
rnacentral:lncRNA from 1 species